GUAGGGUGCAAGCGUUAAUCGGAAUUACUGGGCGUAAAGCGUGCGCAGGCGGUGAUGUAAGACAGAUGUGAAAUCCCCGGGCUCAACCUGGGAACUGCAUUUGUGACUGCAUCGCUGGAGUGCGGCAGAGGGGGAUGGAAUUCCGCGUGUAGCAGUGAAAUGCGUAGAUAUGCGGAGGAACACCGAUGGCGAAGGCAAUCCCCUGGGCCUGCACUGACGCUCAUGCACGAAAGCGUGGGGAGCAAACAGGAUUAGAUACCCUGGUAGUCCACGCCCUAAACGAUGUCAACUGGUUGUUGGUCCUUCACUGGAUCAGUAACGAAGCUAACGCGUGAAGUUGACCGCCUGGGGAGUACGGCCGCAAGGUUG
rnacentral:rRNA from 1 species